UACGUAGGCAGCGAGCGUUGUUCGGAAUUACUGGGCGUAAAGGGCGCGUAGGCGGCCUUCUAAGUCGAACGUGAAAUCCCUGGGCUCAACCCAGGAACUGCGUCCGAUACUGGAAGGCUUGAAUCCGGGAGAGGGAUGCGGAAUUCCAGGUGUAGCGGUGAAAUGCGUAGAUAUCUGGAGGAACACCGGUGGCGAAGGCGGCAUCCUGGACCGGUAUUGACGCUGAGGCGCGAAAGCCAGGGGAGCAAACGGG
rnacentral:rRNA from 1 species